ACCCACCGUCGCUGGACCAGACAAGACUGCCAAAAAGUGCUCUUCAUUGACGAGUCGUGAUUUUGUCUCACCAGGGGUGAUGGUCAGAUUCACGUUUAUCGUCGAAGGAAUGAGCGUUACACCGAGGCCUGUACUCUGGAGCGGGAUCAAUUUGGAGGUGGACGGUCCGUCGUGGUCUGGGGCGGUGUGUCACAGCAUCAUAUGACUGAGCUUGUUGUCAUUGCAGGCAGUCUCAACGCUGUGUAUUACAGGGAAGACAUCCUCCUCCCUCAUGUGGUACACUUCCUGCAGGCUCAUCCUGACAUGACCCUCCAGCGUGACAAUGCCACCAGCCAUACUGCUCAUUCUGUGCAUUAUUUCCUACAAGACAGGAAUAUCAGUGUUCUGCCAUGGUUAGCAAAGAGCCCGGAUCUCAAUCCCAUUGAGCACGUCUGGGACCUGUUGGAUCGGAGGGUGAGAGCUAGGGCCAUUCCCCCCCAGAAAUGUCCGGGAACUUGCAGGUGCCUUGGUGGAAGAGUGGGGUAACAUCUCACAGCAAGAACAGGCAAAUCUGGUGCAGUCCAUGACGAGGAGAUGCACUGCAGUUCAAGUUCAGUCUGCCAUCAAGUCGAAACGGUCCUAUGGCAAUAUGUUUUCACCGUGGUGACGGAAAAGGGAUAUGGCUUGAAAACGUAUCUCAAUCCAGGGAUGGAAGCCACCGUAACGCAGCGGUGAGGAGCUGCACUGCUCAGCACCUGGAGAGACUGGCUGAGGUCAUGGGGAUGGCUCGUCUCCUGUCGGGGAAGAAAGACCUCACUGACCGUUUCUUGAUUGCUGUCAGUAAACUGGCUGUGGACCCUGCACAGGAAGUCAGGCAUCAUAGUCGCAAUAUCUUGAGAAACGUGGCCACCAAUGGCGACUUUGCUAAAAUGUGGGACAAAUUCACUCCGAGGAAAGAGCGAGAAUCCUUGAGGGAGGUCAUCUCAAAGGUUAACCUCAAAGAAAGGAAUAUCUGA
rnacentral:lncRNA from 8 species